AAAAUCCGUCGACUUUAAAAAUCGUGAGGGUUCAAGUCCCUCUAUCCCCNN
rnacentral:tRNA from 3 species